CAAAUUACUUACGUAAUCAAUUCACUGUAUUUCCAAAAUCACCCUCUUUCCAUCCUAGAGAAAGAAAAAUCCCUAAUAAAAAAAUCGCUUAACCCUAGAUUUGCUUCCCCGUCACUAUUACCAAACAAUGGCGAGCGACUCCGAUGCCUCACGUCGCAAGCACCGAGGAUCUUCCUCCGAUGACGAGGUGGAGAAGUCCUCGAAGCGCCAGAAACAUCGUCACCAUCAUCACCGACAUCACCGCCAUCGUAGCAAGAAGCACGGAGGGGAUACCAAGCAAGGCGGUGAAGAAAUCGCUCCUCCUACUCUUCCUCCUCCGGUUCCUGUUGCGCAUAGUAAUAGAGCUGAUAACGAUGACGUGGAGGAAGGGGAAAUUCUUGAGGAGGAAGGUUUUGGUGGUGUCGAUAUCAAGGCCAAUGAAUUACGUGAGGAAAUAACUGAUUCUCAAAAUCUGCAGGGAUUUGACAAGAAAGACAAUGGUUUCGUGAGUAAUCAACUAGUUGUUGAUAAGUUUGACAAUGAUGUCAGCUUUCAAAGAGAUUCUAAGGCUGAGCUUCAAGAUGAGUUAGUUUCUAAAAUUGACUCAGAGGAUCUUAUCAAAGGUAGUUUGGGUCACAAAAAUCAUACAGAUGACAAGAAGAGGCAUGGGGAAUCUAGAUACCCUUCAAAAGGAAGUAAGCGAAAGAAUAACCGGGAUAUUGACCCAACUGAGGGUGAUGAUAGCAAAUUAAAGGAUUGGAAGAAGUCACCAUCAUCUGAAAGCAGCGAAGACAAGCAUAAGAGGGCACGUUCACCAUCACAUGAUAAGUAUCAUGAUGAGAUUCAUGCUAGAAGUAGAUCAAUGUCACGAGAUAUAGUUAGGGAGAGAUCUCGUUCCCGUAGUGUAAUUGAAGAUGAGGCUCUUUUGAGAAGAAAAAGACACCAUGACAGGAUUGAGAAUGACUCUUAUGAUGAAAGAAUGUCUAGAUACAGCAGGAAUUUGCGGCACAACAUUGGAGAUUCAGUGAGAAAUGUGGAUAGGGAAUGGAGUGUUAGUUACAUCAAGUCUUUUGAUGGAGAAGAAUGGCAUCACAGUAAGGAUGCACAGGACAGAGAGAGGAGCAGGGAGAGGGAGAGGGAGAGGGAACGGAGAAGAGAGAAGGAACAAGAGAGAAGCAGGGAGAGAGAGGUUGACAGGGAUAGGAGAAGGGAGAUGGAAAAUGAGAGGAGCAAGGAAAGCGAUUGGAGAAGGGAGAAGGAACAGGAUAGGGAGCUAGAUGGGGAAAGGAGGAGGGAGAAAGGACAGGAGAGGAGUAGGGACAGGGUGGAGGAGAUAGAUAGAAAAAAACGGAUGGAAACAGAUAUGACCAAACACAAAAAUAUGCAAAGGGCUAGCAACAGAGAUAGAGAUAAGGAGAGAGAAAGGGAGAAUGGUAGAGAUAGGUACAGAGAAAGGGAUAGAGCUAGGGACCAUGACAGUGGAAAAGAACGGGACAGGGAGAGGCGAAAUGACAGGGAUAGGGAGAAAUCUAGGGUUAUUAAGAGCAAUUCAGAGAAAUUUUAUAAUUCCAACAGUAAUUUGUUAGGACAGGGAAGAGACAAUCUAAACAGAGAUGAAGAUGACCAAGAUGAUUUUGAAGAAAGGAUUGCACUGAAAUUAGCUGAACAGGAAGAGGAUAAUCUUGAUAGAAUAAAGGAGGAGAGUAGAAAGCGAAGGGAUGCCAUUCUUGAAAAAUAUAGAAAUCAGCAGUUGCAGCAGCUGAAAGAGUCUGGAUCAGAAGAUGCAGACAAAAACAAGGAGCCUAUAGAAGGUUCUGACCAAUCAGCAGCAGCUGACAAUGUUGCUCCAGAAACUCUUGAUGGUAGGACUGAUGGUGCUGAUGUUUAUGUUAUCGAGACAUCAUUUUCUGUGGGGAAAUCACCUUUACAAAAUGGAAUACAAGCUUCCAAGAGGACUUCAGGAACUACAGGGCUUGGAGAGGGUUCGCCAAAGAGUGAGAGAUCAGAUGAAAAAUUAUGUGAUGAUAUUUUUGGAGAGACUCCUGUUGGAGUUUGUAAAUCGGGUAAAGGAGAUGAAAAAUAUUGUGAUGAUAUUUUUGGAGAGACUCCUGUCGGAGUUCGUAAAACGGGUAAAGGAGAGGGUUUGCCAAUCGUGAGGAGUGGUCUUCAUGACAAUUGGGAUGAUCCUGUAGGAUAUUAUAGCCACCGAUUUGGAGAAGUACUUGAUGGUCGAUAUGAGAUUGUUGCUGCUCAUGGAAAAGGUGUCUUUUCUACAGUAGUUCGCGCAAGGGAUCUGAACGCUGGCAUUGAUGAACCUGAAGAAGUGGCUAUAAAAAUUAUACGCAACAAUGAAACAAUGCGUAAGGCUGGUGAUACAGAGGUUUCAAUAUUGAAGAAAUUAGCAGGUCAAGAUCCAGAGAACAAGCGUCACUGUGUUCGUUUUCUUUCAAGUUUCAAGUAUAGAAACCAUCUUUGUUUAGUUUUUGAAUCUCUUCAUAUGAACCUGCGUGAGGUCCUUAAAAAGUUUGGUCGAGAUAUUGGCCUUAAACUAACUGCUGUUAGAGCAUAUGCGAAGCAGCUUUUUAUUGCUCUGAAGCAUCUAAGGAACUGUGGUGUUCUUCAUAGUGAUAUAAAGCCUGAUAAUAUGCUUGUAAAUGAGGCAAAAAAUGUGCUGAAGCUUUGUGAUUUUGGUAAUGCGAUGUUUUCUGGUAAAAAUGAAAUUACACCGUACCUUGUAAGCCGAUUUUAUCGUGCUCCUGAAAUAAUUCUUGGUUUGCCGUAUGAUCAUCCGAUGGAUAUGUGGUCUGUUGGUUGCUGCUUGUAUGAACUUUAUUCUGGAAAGGUUCUUUUUCCAGGUUCUACAAACAAUGACAUGCUACGACUUCACAUGGAAUUGAAGGGCCCUUUCCCAAAGAAGAUGCUUAAGAAGGGUGCAUUUGUUGACCAGCAUUUUGAUAAUGAUUUGAAUUUUCAUGCUACAGAGGAAGAUCCUGUUACUAAAAAGAUUAUGAAAAAGAUUAUUGUGAACAUAAAGGCAAAGGAUGUUGGGUCUAUUAUUUCUGGCUCUCCUGGUGAGGAUCCAAAGAUGCUAGCAAACUUUAAAGAUCUUCUAGAAAAAAUCUUUGUGUUGGAUCCUGAGAAGAGGAUGACAGUUUAUCAAGCACUAGCUCACCCAUUCAUCACGGGCAAGUGAACCAUGUUGCUGCUUUUCUGACUCCAGACAUGCUGUUGCACUAGAAUUUGUACAUUAUGACCUAACCCAUUCAGAUAUCUAAUCAUUGCACAUUAUCUUUAUAUUCUGUCUUCUGGCCUCUGAGCUUUGGACAGUUUUUCGCAUGGCUGAAGUCAAAACUGGUGAUAUGUGGUCAGCAAUACUCUUUACAGGCGGUUCAUUCAGUGGAAUGUACUGGUUCUAUUGAUAAUCUUCCCCUGGUUUGAGGCAUCCUUCCAGUGCUUAGAUGCUUAAAAGGCACCCAGGAGAAGGCACUUGCUCCUGAGAUUUGCCGCUACAAACUUGAAGUGAUAGUGCAUUUUGGGCAUUGUGUCAUCCAUUUGCAGCUCCGGUAAGUAUCUGAAAACUAAUUGGUUAUUUUGAGCUGUGUAAUUUUUAAUAACAUGAAAUGUUUAAUUUUAGGUUUUCUUGAAUUUUGGUCUCUGAUGUAGCCAUAGUUUGUUACAGAUACUUCAUAAGAACCAUGCAUUGCCUGCCAUGUGUAGUCAGUGCUCCUCAUACAAAAGUUUUAUCUAUAACUUGGAUACAAAACACAGGAUGUGACAAAAUACUAUUGUGAAGCAUAAGCUUCAGUCAAAAUUGCAUCUGGAUAAGAUAUAGAAACAUGUUUGAAGUAUAAAAUCUAGUUGAACGUGCUCAUACGUUCUUUUAGGUCUGAGCCUAGCAAAUAUUAAAUUAUACUUUUAAUUAAGCUCAAUGAACAUGUUUAGAAGAUAUGAUCUGUGUUAAUCCUGAAUUCAUUUGUUUGAAACCCUUGUGUCUUGGAUUUGGGUGAUCACUGGAACCCGUGAGUUAGUAUCUGGUCAAAUUUGUUGUUUGGGAUGAUGUGUUAAAGCAUCAGUCAAACUUUUGUGGCAUUGGACCUGAAUAUUUUUCUCAUUAUGCCUCAACCUUGACUGCUUGCUAUGGAUUGGAAUAAGUUGAAUUAAUAGUCUUUCGUAGCCUACUCUAGCAUCAUGUUUCAAUAUUUACUGUUACAACAAUAUAAAUGACAAGCAAGAGAGCGUUCUGUGUUUGGUCAUGUGGUGAGGAAAGGAGGUUGUUUGGAGAAGUAUUGCACAAGCUACCAGCCUUAAAGUAUAUUGAUCUUUAAUCUUGCAAGAAUUGUGCACAAAAGGUCCUAUAGUAUUCCAAGAUCCAAGGCUUCCCUUCUACCCGCAUGAUAUCUGACCUUAACCACCUGAGCUCUGUAUUUUCCACUGUCAGUUUCCCAAUUGGGUAUGGGUGCAAGUACUGUUCUAGGUUUGGGAGUAGAAGGGAUAUGCGGGGAAGAAGGGGAAAAGAGAAGGUAAUGAUACAGAGAUUAAAACAUGGAUUUGAAUACUGUUGAUAACAAAAAGGAUGAUGCUGCUAUUCUUCCCCGUGUUUCAAUCAGAUUAAAUAAUUUCUAUUUCCUUUUCAAUUGUACAGAGAAAUGAGAUGGUCUUUUCAUAUGAACUUUUUGUCGAAUUAAAAUUGUUCUCUGAUAAUGCCCAGUCAUUGUAUUCUGGCAAGUGGAAUGACAGGACACAAAAUAUGAUUUAAUAAAAGGCAAGUUGGAUUGUUCUAUUAAAACAUCAGGGUCUGUUAUUGAUAGUAAUGUACAGUGGGACUAAGAAUGCACAAGAUGGAAGUAGAGGGGUUCAUCGUGUUUAAUUUUUUGCACCGGGCUUGGUUUUCCAUUCAAGGCAAAGUUGAGGGACAUGUAUGGAGCCAAGCUUGUUAAAGUAAAUAUUCUCUAUAUUUAGUGUAGCUAUCUUGAUAAAAAAAAGGUGUGCGACAUGCGUUUCUGGUUUGAUGUCAGCCGCUAUAUAGGCUGGUGGUUUUUGACAGAAGUAUUACAAAGAUAUACACUCCUUAUCAUAUCUGUCUGUCCAUGUGAAUUGAAUGCAAAUAUUGCCAUGCUUCAUUCAGUGCAACCUCUAAUUGGCCUUAUGGUUUGAGUUAUUUCUUAUUUUUCUGAUUUGAUUUAGAGCCUAGUGUAAAAAAAUUGCUUGUGGUUAAUAUCUUUGGAUCUAAAACUUUUGUUUUGAGUGAAGGAAAAUUCCUUCUAAGUAGAACUAGUUUACUGCACUUUUAUGCAUAUAGGUCAUUGGAGAAACAAAACAUGGCUAAGAUGAGAAAAUAACUUGACAUACAGAUAUGCUAUAUUUUAACUGAUUUGGUGUAAAGUCGAAAUGAAGAACUUGUUCUUCCACUUCCCCUGAUAAUUACUCCACAGGAGCUUUCAUAAUGAAACUAAAUUUGUUGGUGAACAGGAAAUUUGAUUUCUUAUGAGAUUAUUUUCACAAAUGUUUGUUGUUAUGCAAAGUACAUUAGCUUUUGCCCUCGUUGCAUUUUUUCCAGAACACUGGGAUUUCAUUUUUCUUUAAUUUAUAUAAGUUGCAUAGUUAAGUGCUUGUGUUGUAUGAUUUCCCUGCAAAAGUGUUAAUGCGAGGUUGUUCUCCCCAUUCCACUGUCAAAUUGGUUUCAUUGAUGAUUUGCUGAAUUCACAAGUGUAAUUAUCCAAAUGCUGGAUUGAUGAUUAUUGUGCUUCAAUUCCAAUUUGAUUGUUCCCUGUCAAAUCAUAGUUUGAAAAAAGAUUGAUUAGCCUAUAUUAGAAUUAUUUAUAAUUGGUUGCCACCGAGUUUUGUGGUGCUCAUUUUGGUUGGGCAUGUUGGUCCUGAAUGUUUUUGUUGGACAUUUGUAUGUUAGAUUUAGUUCUUGCUGCUUCUUUUGAGGGCUGAAAGGAGCAUUUGUUUUCUGCUUUCUACAUGUAACAUUGGGUGAUUUAAGGAAUAAUUCCAAGUUCAAACUCAAAAUCAGAAGAUAAGAGGAUGUUGUUGAGUCAUUUUAUUAGACUAGUAAAACAGGAGGGAAAAAAAAAGAAUUAGUAAGCAACCUUCUACAUUGUUUUAGAUUUGUGUUUAUAUUUCUCAAGCUUUAUGAUCUUCUUAUGUUUUGUCUUUGGCAUACGUAAGCUUAAAAGAUGAUAUUUUUCUAGGUAUGCAACCUUCUUGAGUAUGGCAGUGUGAAUUAAGGUUCAUUUCAUAUCUAUUCAUAUCUCUUCAUCUUUUACCAUUGCUGACUUCCUAUUUUGGUUCUUAAAAUGAUAUUCUAAUCCAUUUGUGUGUGUGUGUGUGGGGGGGGUGGGGGGUGUAGUUUAUUGCUUCUCACACUGCUUUUGAAUUGUGUUUGACUUAACUGGCAAUAACUGUGAGUUCUAUAUAUAUUUUUUGGAAUGCAGUGGAAGAUAAUAUGAUAUUAUCUAAGGAAAAAUGAGGUUUGAAAAUCUUCCACUGUUUUGCUAACGUGUCCUAGUUUUGGCUUGCCUUUUUAUUAGUUGCCAAAAAUGGAAUGCUUUUGGAUUCAGAAGUUCUUUUCCAUAGGUUAGAAAAGGAUGACAUAGCAAAGAAAAAAGACCGAGCAGGCUUAGAUUUUAACAAACUUGUUCUAGCGACUCUAUUACUAACUUUGUUUUAUCAUGUGAUCCAAAACCUGUUAGUUGGUAUCCCCUUUCUUUUCUAUUCUUUUUUUUUUUUGGUUUGGAGGUGGGGGAUGGCUGGAGUGGCAAAAAGGUUUUCUUGCCUUGUCUUGGGAACAUUAUAUAUGCAAGAGGUGUGUGGAUGUAUGUUCUAUGAUGCUUUUGAUAUCAGUUUGUUUGAGUGCUGUUUUGAUCUAGUGUUAUGAAAUUAUAUGUGAUAGUAUCUUCACAGCAAUUAUACUUCUAUCAUGCACCAUGUUUCGGUAUAUGCAGUGUUUUAUUUCAUGAUACACAUCAAAAUUCGUUUCUGUUUGUUGAAAAGUUUUUGUAGACCAAUUAUUUGGCUAUCGAGUCAUCUGGGAUUUUCCCUAAUAGUUUUUUUCUGUUUUUUUUCAAUAGUUUGGUAAAAGGUCCUAGAAAAUGUGGCGGGAAUUAUUUUUUUUAUGAAUUAUAUCAGUUGCCUUUUUGGUUGCAUAUAAACACAAAGGGGUGAUCAAUGUGAUUUAUACUAUUUAUGUCUCAGUUUUUAAUUGAUGAGUUUUCUGAUUCCA